rnacentral:rRNA from 1 species
UGGGGAAUAUUGCACAAUGGGCGAAAGCCUGAUGCAGCGACGCCGCGUGAGGGAUGACGGCCUUCGGGUUGUAAACCUCUUUCAGCAGGGACGAAGCGCAAGUGACGGUACCUGCAGAAGAAGCACCGGCUAACUACGUGCCAGCAGCCGCGGUAAAACGUAGGGUGCAAGCGUUGUCCGGAAUUACUGGGCGUAAAGAGUUCGUAGGCGGUUUGUCGCGUCGUUUGUGAAAACCAGCAGCUCAACUGCUGGCUUGCAGGCGAUACGGGCAGACUUGAGUACUGCAGGGGAGACUGGAAUUCCUGGUGUAGCGGUGAAAUGCGCAGAUAUCAGGAGGAACACCGGUGGCGAAGGCGGGUCUCUGGGCAGUAACUGACGCUGAGGAACGAAAGCGUGGGUAGCGAACAGG